AGUGCCGUUUCGGUUUAACCUAGUGUGUGACUGUGAGUCUGUGUGAGGGGCCGAGUGUGUGAGGUACUUAGGUGAGGCGGAAGCUAGAGAAGGGGCUCCCUCAGGAGCGAGGGACAAAAGGGGCGUGAGGCACCUAGGCCGCGGGACCCCAGCGACAGGAAGCCGCCCCGAGCCGGGCUACCGGGUAGGGGAAGGGCCCGCGCAGUCCUCACAGGGCCCCAGAGCCAGAGUCGGCCACACAGCACCGGGCCGUCGGCUUCCUACUUCUUCGACCUCCCCGGCGUCUGGGCCCGAGGAUUGGCUCGGCGUGGGGAGGAGAAACAGAUUCGAGCAGCUACUUGUCUCGCAACUCCACUGCUGAGGAACUCUCAUUUCUUCCUUGGCUCCUUCACCCCCACCUCAUGUAGGAGGGUGCUGAGGAGACGGGAGGGAGGAGGAGCCUGGACUACCGUCCCUUCCCUCCCCACCCCUCUGUAGGGGCGCUUUGGUAGGCGUGGGGCUGGGGGGGAGGGUGGGGGUUACUUUUUGGAGUGCUGGGGAACUUUUUCCCCUUUUUGAGGCCAGGGGAAGGGGAAUGCCCAAUCCAGAGAGACAUGGGGGCAAGAAGGACGGGAGUGGGGGAGCUUCUGGAACUUUGCAGCCGUCAUCGGGAGGUGGCAGCUCCAACAGCAGAGAGCGUCACCGCUUGGGGUCGAAGCACAAGCGGCAUAAGUCCAAGCACUCCAAAGACAUGGGAUUGGUGACACCCGAAGCAACACCUUUGGGCACGGUUAUCAAACCUUUGGUGGAAUAUGAUGACAUUAGCUCUGAUUCCGAUACCUUCUCUGACGACCUGGCUUUCAAACUGGACCGGAGGGAAAAUGAUGAACGUCGCGGGACUGAUCGCAGCGACCGCCUGCAUAAACACCGUCACCACCAGCACCGACGUACCCGCGACUUAUUAAAAACUAAACAGACAGAGAAAGAAAAAAACCUGGAAGCCUCCAGCAAGUCGGGCUCGACGAAGGACCGGAUAUCAGGAAGUUCAAAGCGUUCAAAUGAGGAGAAUGAUGACCGCGGGAAGGCGCAGAUCUCGAAAAGCAGCAGCAAGGAAUCCAGGUCAUCCAAACUCCAUAAAGAGAAGACCCGGAAAGAACGUGAGUUGAAGUCGGGACACAAAGACCGAAGUAAAAGUCAUCGGAAAAGGGAAACACCCAAAAGUUACAAAACCGUGGACAGCCCCAAACGGAGAUCCAGGAGUCCCCACCGGAAGUGGUCCGACAGCCCCAAGCAAGAUGAUAGCCCCUCCGGAGCUUCUUACGGCCAAGAUUAUGACCUUAGUCCCCCGAGAUCUCACACCUCUAGCAAUUACGACUCCUACAAGAAGAGUCCGGGAAGUACCUCUAGAAGGCCGUCAAUCAGCCCACCUUACAAGGAGCCUUCUGCCUACCAGUCCAGCACUCGGUCACCCAGCCCCUACAGUAGACGACAGAGGUCUGUGAGUCCCUAUAGCCGGCGACGUUCUUCCAGCUAUGAAAGGAGUGGCUCUUACAGUGGGAGAUCACCCAGUCCCUACGGUCGAAGGCGGUCCAGCAGCCCUUUUCUGAGCAAGCGCUCUCUGAGCCGGAGUCCACUUCCCAGUAGAAAAUCAAUGAAGUCUAGAAGUAGAAGUCCUGCAUAUUCAAGACACUCAUCUUCUCACAGUAAAAAGAAGAGAUCCGGGUCACGCAGUCGACAUUCCAGUAUCUCACCUGUCAGGCUUCCAUUGAACUCCAGCUUGGGAGCUGAACUCAGUAGGAAAAAGAAGGAAAGAGCAGCAGCUGCUGCAGCAGCAAAAAUGGAUGGGAAGGAAUCCAAGGGUUCACCUAUAUUUUUGCCUAGAAAAGAAAACAGUUCAGUAGAGGCUAAGGAUUCAGGCUUGGAGCCUAAAAAGUUACCCAGAGGUGUAAAAUUGGAAAAAUCUGCCCCAGAUACUGAACUGGUGAAUGUAACACAUCUAAACACAGAGGUCAAAAAUUCUUUAGAUACAGGGAAAGUGAAGUUGGAUGAGAACUCUGAGAAGCAUCCUGUUCCUAAAGAUACGAAAGUACAGGGAACAAGAGACUCUAAACCUGUAGCACUGAAAGAGGAGAUUGUUACUCCAAAAGAGACAGAGACAUCUGAAAAGGAGACCCUUCCACCUCUUCCCACAGUUACUUCUCCACCUCCUUUACCAACUACUACCCCUCCACCACAGACACCCCCCUUGCCACCUUUGCCUCCACUGCCAGCUAUUUCACAGCAGCCACCUCUGCCUCCUCCCCAGCCAACACUUAGUCAGGUUCUUUCUUCAAGUACUUCAACUUUGCCCCCCUCUGUUCAUCCAAGGACAUCUACUCUGUCCUCUCAGGCAAAUUCUCAGCCCCCUGUACAGGUUUCUGUGAAGACUCAAGUAUCUGUAACAGCUGCUAUUCCACACCUAAAAACUUCAACGUUGCCUCCUUUGCCCCUCCCACCCUUAUUACUGGGAGAUGAUGACAUGGAUAGUCCGAAAGAAACUAUACCUUCAAAACCUGUGAAGAAAGAGAAAGAACAAAGACCACGGCACCUACUCACAGACCUCCCUCUCCCUCCAGAGCUCCCUGGUGGGGAUCCAUCUCCCCCAGACUCCCCAGAACCAAAGGCAAUCACACCACCUCAGCAACCAUACAAAAAGAGACCAAAAAUUUGUUGUCCGCGUUAUGGAGAAAGAAGACAGACAGAAAGUGACUGGGGGAAACGCUGUGUGGACAAGUUUGACAUUAUUGGGAUUAUUGGAGAGGGAACUUAUGGCCAGGUAUAUAAAGCAAAGGACAAAGACACAGGAGAGCUGGUGGCCCUGAAGAAGGUGAGACUGGACAAUGAAAAAGAGGGCUUCCCAAUCACAGCCAUUCGUGAGAUCAAAAUCCUUCGUCAGCUGAUCCACCGAAGUGUUGUUAACAUGAAGGAAAUUGUCACAGAUAAGCAGGAUGCACUGGAUUUCAAGAAGGACAAAGGAGCCUUUUACCUUGUGUUUGAAUAUAUGGACCAUGACUUAAUGGGACUUCUGGAAUCUGGUUUGGUGCACUUUUCUGAGGACCAUAUCAAGUCAUUCAUGAAACAGCUAAUGGAAGGAUUGGAUUACUGUCAUAAAAAGAAUUUCCUGCAUCGGGAUAUUAAGUGUUCUAACAUUUUGCUGAACAACAGUGGGCAGAUCAAACUAGCAGAUUUUGGACUUGCUCGACUCUAUAAUUCUGAAGAGAGCCGUCCUUAUACAAACAAAGUUAUUACUCUGUGGUACCGACCUCCAGAACUUCUGCUGGGAGAGGAGCGUUAUACACCAGCGAUAGAUGUUUGGAGCUGUGGAUGCAUUCUUGGGGAACUGUUCACAAAGAAGCCUAUUUUUCAAGCCAAUCUGGAACUGGCUCAGCUAGAACUGAUCAGUCGACUCUGUGGUAGCCCUUGUCCAGCUGUGUGGCCUGAUGUUAUCAAGCUGCCCUACUUCAAUACAAUGAAACCGAAGAAGCAAUAUAGACGGCGCCUACGAGAAGAAUUCUCUUUCAUUCCUUCAGCAGCACUUGAUUUACUGGACCACAUGCUGACGUUAGAUCCUAGCAAACGUUGUACAGCUGAACAGACUCUACAGAGUGAUUUCCUUAAAGAUGUUGAGCUCAGCAAAAUGGAUCCUCCAGACCUUCCCCACUGGCAGGAUUGCCAUGAAUUAUGGAGUAAGAAACGGCGACGGCAGCGACAAAGUGGUGUUUUGGUAGAAGAGCCACCUCCACCCAAAGCCUCUCGAAAAGAAACAAUCUCAGGGACAAGUGCUGAGCCUGUAAAGAACAGCAGCCCAGCACCACCUCAGCCUGCUCCUGGCAAGGUGGAACCUGGGGCUGGGGAUGCAAUAGGCCUCGGUGAUAUCACACAGCAGUUGAAUCAAAGUGAAUUGGCAGUGUUACUGAACCUGCUGCAGAGCCAAACGGACCUGAGCAUUCCUCAAAUGGCGCAGCUGCUUAACAUCCACUCCAACCCAGAGAUGCAACAGCAGCUGGAGGCCCUGAACCAAUCCAUCAGUGCCCUAACGGCUGCCACUUCCCAACAGCAGGACUCAGAGCCCACAGCCCCAGAGGAAUCUUUGAAGGAGAUAGCCCCUGCCCCAGCAGUCCAACCUUCAGCAGAACAGACAACCCCUGAAGCUUCAAGCACACCAGCUGACAUGCAGAAUAUGUUGGCAGUUCUCUUGAGUCAACUGAUGAAAACCCAGGAGCCAGCAGGCAACCUGGAGGAAAACAACAGUGACAAGAACAGUGGGCCACAGGGGCCCCGAAGAACUCCCACAAUGCCACAGGAGGAGGCAGCAGCAUGUCCUCCUCACAUUCUUCCACCAGAGAAGAGGCCCCCUGAGCCCCCCGGACCUCCACCGCCGCCACCUCCACCCCCUCUGGUUGAAGGCGAUCUUUCCAGCGCCCCCCAGGAGUUGAACCCAGCCGUGACAGCCGCCUUGCUGCAACUUUUAUCCCAGCCUGAAGCAGAGCCUCCUGGCCACCUGCCACAUGAGCACCAGGCCUUGAGAUCAAUGGAUUACUCCACCCGACCCCAUCCCAACAGGACUUACGGAAACACUGACGGGCCUGAAACAGGGUUCAGUGCCACUGACACUGAUGAACGCAACUCUGGUCCAGCCUUGACAGAAUCUUUGGCCCAGACCCUGGUGAAGAACAGGACCUUCUCGGGCUCUGUGAGCCACCUUGGGGAGUCCAGCAGUUACCAGGGCACAGGGUGACAGCAGCAGGAGGAGGAAUGGCCCCUGAGGAAUUUGGUAAUGUCCAUUAGUUACCUGACAUCCGGAGCCCUGGCAAAUUCACUCUUUCACAGAGUUUCAAGCCAGGUUUGAUGGGAGAUCCCCCCUGUCCACACACUGUGCAGGACAUCGGAAGUAAGAGGUCUGCCAGCCUGCUUAUUCCCAUCCUCAAUGCCCAGAACUGAGCAGGUCACCAACCUACAGUGCCUACCCCUACCCUUCUUCCAGCCAGCGAGAUGGAGGAGGAGGAGAGGCACUGGGAUUUUCCCCCAACUGCCAGGACCUUCAAAAAGGAUGGAACCGUACCAGUUGCCUCAUUUCUGAGCCCCCAGAUUGCAGCCAGGAUGUUAGGUAAGGCUGUUUUCUUGUUCCUGAGUUUUGUGCAGUUGAGCUUGUCCCAGUGAGUGCUGUAAAAUUGUGAAAGGAAAGUGAGGACAGAGCUUUGAGGUCCUUGAAGAGUGAGGAGAAGAGCUAGGGACCAAGGAACCAGAGACUCUGGUGAGAGGGAGGAGAGGGGCAGGGUUCAGAGAUAUUUCUGUGUGUUUAGACAUAAAAUAAGUGCUGUGGAGACCACAUGCAAAUGAGUGCUGAUGCCUUGGGGUAUGGAUCACAGACCCUUACUGUGGUGAGGAAGAGAACUUGGAGCUCGUCUCUUCAAACUGUUCAUUUUACAGAUGUGAAAACGGAGACCCAGAGAAGGGAAAUCAGUUGAAUCUUGUCCUGGAGUUGCUUUUGUUCCUGGAUUUGGGGUAUUCCUUGGAACCCCAGAAAAUGUAGGUAGGUAGGGUAUCAGGAGGAAAGUCAAGGGGAAAGGUUUGGCAGAGUAUUAUUUUCCAUUUCUUGGAGUCUCCUGUCUCUGACCCCUGAGUUUUGAAAGCAACUUAAGGGAGUAAGGUGGGUGCAUUACUGGGGGGACAUUUCCCUCAUACAAUCUGUUCCAGAGGGCAUCUCCAUUCCCUUGCUUUCAUGUAGACAGAUCCUCCACAACUACCCACUCCCAUGAGAUUUUACUGUAUUCGAAAAGGCACAGGGAAGGAAAUACAUCAACUUCGCCAGUUCCUUGACCAAGGUAUAGAUUCCCCAGUAGUGACUAAAUAUUGAGCUUUUUCCGAGAUCUUAUCACAAAUUUCUCUGCUGCAGUAAAAACUGCUAGAGAAAAUUAUGCCCCAAAAUGUAGCAAGGUGUGGUCUUGUCCUAUGUCUAGGCCAAGAAGAGAGAUAGAAUUAAAACUCAAGGCUCUGAAAGCUGAGUCAGAAAUGCCCCUGUAUUUGUGCAGCACCAUGGCCCAAAGCUCUUAGUGAAGCCCCGUCUGAUUCUAUAAGGUAUUGAUGUACACUGGAGAGGGGGGCACGUUUCCAGCUGUCCCCACCCACACCUCCUUCACUGUUCAGAUGCUAGAGUUAAGAAAGGUUUAUGGGGAGAAGUGACUUGUCCACCAAGUUGCCAAAGAUGGCAUUUCUUGGCAUCUCCUUCCUUCCUCAAAAAAGUCAACAUUAAAAAAAAAUUCAACAUUGUUCUGUGCUUCAUGAGACCAAGUUGAGGUCUGGACAAGGAUGGACAGAGAGCUUGGAAAGCUGUGUGAGUUUAAGAAACUUUGUCACACUCUCCAAGCCCCCAACACUUAUCCCCUACUCCCAGAAAUAUGUUCUCAUCUCAGUACACCCACCAUUUAAUAUCCCCAAAGUCCCUAGGAAAGACCCAGAUGUGCCUUUCUAAGUGCCCCCAGGCUCACUCUUCCCUUUUCUUAGACCCUCAGGGCCAUCUCCUUGGCUGUCUAAUUCUCUGCCCUUUCUACUACCAACAAGAUAAGAAGGCCCCCUUGCAUUGCCCCUGCUUCCAAGGACCUGCAGGAAGAGGUGCAAUGGUGGGGGGAGUUGGGGGUGGCGGGAAUUGUGCUAGGGAGUUAAAAAGGAAGGUUUUCUUGUGAGAGUAGGUCAGGGAGAAGCCAGAAGGAGGAAAGAUAGAGAGGGGGAAUUUGGAAACUGAGGCCUGUAGUCCCACCUUUGGGCGGGGGGUUGCUACCUAACUCAAAGCAGGGUAUUCGUACUGAGUGUUGUUGAGGAGAUUUAUUAGAUGGCUCUUUAGAGAAACAGAGCAACGGAAGAGCAUUCAGUGGAGAAAGACAAGAUGCGUCAGGCUUUCUGAAGGCCCUCUUUCUCACCCCUUGUAUACCCCUACUCCAGGAUUAGAGGUAUUCUGGAGGAGCUAAAAGGCCCUUAAACCAUUCGAUUAUUGAUAGAUUCUUGAUGUUUCUGUCAGGAACAAGACUUCCCUCCCCUCAAUCCCCACCAGCCCUGCCUCACACUCUCGAGAUUUAACCAAGGGUAUGACAUUUACAGCCUUGGAGUCAGAGCCUGGAGCCUGCUCUGGAAUCCAGAAGUAACCCUGAGCUUUUGCAGGGAAAGAGGGAUAGACUUGAAGUAAGUGGAAGGCAGAGGUAGCAGCACCCAGCAUCCCCUGCACUCUAGAGAAGAGGGGUUGCUGAGGGACUCUGUGUUGGCCCAGGUUUAACUUUUACUCUGAUGGGGCUCCUUUCCUCCUUCUCCCUCAGUGUGUCCCACUGGUUGGUAAGAGAGCUGGAUGUCUGAACCUCCCACCUUGACGCCUCGAAGGUUACCAAGCAGACCAUUCUCUAACUCCCAAAGCCGUGGAGGAGGCAAAGGAAGACAUUUCAGAGGUGGCAGUGCCAUGAUGUCCAUCAGUACCUGGGCAGAGAAGCUGAGGAGCAGAGACAGAGACCAGAGAGGGACAGGAGGAGACGCCUGCUCCUGAAGCGCCUCCGUACCCUGUCCUGUCUCACGUGCCUUCUCACGUGCUGACACGGCUCUGUGCCCAGGCUGUGCCAGGCUUCCUGGCUGGUGACCCUGCUCUGCCGUACGGGCAGCUGGCCCUCUGCUCCAGCACAGAGCACGUGCCGGGGUCUCUCCCACUUCUUUCUAAUGCAUCUCAGUGUGUCUGUGGUGCAGAUUCCUAGGGAUUAAGAAGGGGAUUGUGGCCCUGGGAGUAGGAAGAUGGUGGGCUCUUGGGUCCUGUAGGUGCCUGUCUGCCUGGCUGGAGCGGCUGUGGGGAGGGAGAAGGCUGCUGGCAUGGCAGCUCAACUGAGCUCAAGGUUCUGGUGACUCAUAACAAUGGGGGGUGGCUCAUGAUAACAACAGAGGAGAAGGUGUCAGGGCCUGUUAGAGCUCCCUUUUGCCCCAUUUCUCCCCCACUCUGCGCUCUGUGGAUAGAGGUCUCUCAUCUGGAUUGUGGGGCAAGGAGAGACCCCAGCUAAGAAAGAAGAGAGGGAAAUAGGAGAGAAGAUGACAGCAUUCCCAGGGAGAGGCUUCUCAGUGAGGAAAGGAUAGGAGAGGCUAGUUAUUCUUACUCUGCAGUGUCCAUGGGCUACACACAGGGUGGUGUGCUGGGCAGCUCGGCACUCCUGGGCAGACACAGCUACUGCUCCCUGCCCUCUCUUGCCUUCCACAGCUCUGGGCACCCAGCUGACACCCAGAAAUUUUUUUUUAAAGUAGGGGGGCACUAUUUUAAGACCAGAACAUGGAAGGGUUACCACUUGGUCUUAUACUUUCUUUGCUGGAAACAGAAACUGUGGUCUUCAAAGGUGCUGAUUUUCUCUUCCCUUACAGGCCAAGUAGGCGAUGUGCAUCUUCUCCAGACUUUCUGAAUCAGGGGGAUGAUAAAAUACUAUGUUUAAGGUCACACCAGCAGAACAGGGCCAGAAAGAGGACCAGGAGAACUAGCCAUGCCCCUGACCACAGUCCCAGGGGCCUCCCUGUUUCAGCAAAAGGAAAUAAAGAUCUUGGAUCCAGUGUAUCUAGACACUUAAUAAAUAUCCUCCUUCUAACCUCAGAGAAGAAUCGGAGAGGAGUUCUCUGAGAGAACCUAAGUUUUCAUUUGUCUAUUUCUAUUCUUCUCACUGAUGGCAGCUCUGCUGUCCAGCAGCAGUGAGGGGCCCCUCUGCUGGGAUGCUGCUGAGGAUUCAGAGACAGUUUUGGUUGGACAAAGGGACAGGCUGGCUGCUGUUUGUGUAGGGAGAUGUGGCCAGUUCCACUUCCCCAGCUCUUCCUGGCAGCAUCAGGAACCCAGGCACCCCUGCUGGAACACCCAUAAUAAAGCUCAGCCCUGAACUGAACUGACAUAUCACCUGGCUCCGCUGUAAGAGUGGUGCUGUAAGGGGGAGGCUCGGCGCACCUGGUCGGGUGCAGGCAGGUGUGGGGAGUUCAACUCCAGGAGAUACAAGGAUCACUCCACAAUACCACCUCUUAAACCUUCUCCUCAACCCUCCUUUAACUUCCACCUCCAUUUAGCCGACUCCACUUCUGGCUACCUCAUGCCCUCCAAUCUGAGAAGACAUGGUAAGUAGUUGUCUGUUGCCUACACUUUUUUCUCACUCUCCGCUCCUCCCAACUCCCAGCCAAGAGUUACCCCAUUUGACCUCUUCCCAUCGGUGAAAGCCCUCCAGUUCUGAACCCAGAAUCCCCAGCCUCUGAAACCCUCCUUCUUUUGAGAAUGCCACUCUGGCUCUGAGACUGACUCACCAGUCCUCAUCCUCCACAUAAGUAUAGCAAGGCCAAGACAAGCAUGUCCACUGGCACCAAGGGCCCUGACCUGAAGCAAAGAGCAGCUCUAGGGGUACAGCAGAGCUUGGCCCUGAAUGUGUAUAUGCCUGUGCAUUGGGCACAUUGGUUUAUUAGUGUUAUUUCAGCAUUGUGAUGCAGAGAGAGUAAGUGUAACAGCUGCUCCUUGCUUGCAGUGUUUAUUGUUACCUAGAGACAACCUCCUGGCUUUUUCCCAGCUCCCCCUCCCCCCCCAGCUUACCCCCCUCCCUGCCAACAGUCCUCCUCUCCCCACACUGAUGGGAAAUUUAUGGCUUGCCCAUACCAUGUCUUUAACCCUCUCCUGUCCAUAAGAUAGGUGGGCCAAGGGAAGCCAAAGUGAGCAGUGGGCCUGCUUAGGUCCCAGCAGGGUAGAAUAGUGCUUGGAGGAGGGAAGGAGAGACAGAGGGACGGAAGACACCUCUUCUUCCCAAUCUGUGUCUGGACUCAGGCCCCAGUUUCCUUCCUGACUCUCAUGUUGAGAGAAAAGUUUUAGGAUCCCAGGCUUCUCCUCACAAGAUUAUUCCCUUCCCUGGUUAUCUCUAAGCGCUCCCCUCCUCAGUGGACUGGCUGCUCCUGAGCAAGUACAACAAGGUAGUAUUGAGACAGGAGGAAUAAAUGCAAAGUGGCAGAACCCCUGGGGCCCCUCCUUUCUAUAGAGAUGUCAUAUUGAGACAAACAAGAGGCUCUGGCAUGAACGGUGCUGGCCAGACCUCCACAGCUGAGUAGAUGUCAAACAUGAAGCUGGCUGCUGAGCCUGGCGGGGAAAACUGCUCACCUUAGCUUCACCCUGAGCCUAGCACUAAGUUCCUGAGAGAGUCCCAGGCCACCCUCCAAGCUGAUCUCCUUGGUCUAGUUUCCUAAUACAUUUUCUCCUUCUCAUUGUUUGGUUUGAUACAUUGGGGAAGAUCCAAGAGACCAAGGGAACUGAGGCCUCAACAGUCCUGUGGAAAGAGAAACUCCUGUAUCCCAUCUGGUCCCAGGACCUUUCAUGGAGGGGCAUCAUGUCAUAUAUUCACCAUCCCCGCUGGAAACAAGAGAAAUAAAAGAAUAGGAUUUUAGCAGAAAGGAUAGAGGUUAGACAUAUGGAAAAACUUACUCGUGGGGUAUAAGACUUCAGAAUGGACCUACUUCUCUUUAGAGACUUUUCUUUUGCCUUGGAUGGUUUUAAGUCUGUGUUUACCCAAGGGGCACUGGAAGAGCAGGGGUAAUUUUCUGGGGCUCCUCCAGACGUUAACCUCAGUGCAGUUUCCCCCUCAGUUCUAAACCUAGUAUGUGUGGUGGUUAGAUUGUAAAUUUAUGGGCUGACAGCCUUGAGUUCCAAUGCUGGUGCUGCUGCUCACUAGCUGUGCCACCUUGGUAAAUCCCGUAACCUCUUUUAGCCCUAGUUUCCUUGCCUGUGAAAUGUAGAUAACCUUUUAAGAUGGUGAAGAGAAUUUAGUGAAAUAAUGUGUGUAAAGUACCUCAGAAAGUGCCUGAUACUGAGUAGGUGCUCAGUCAAUAGUGGUUGAUACAAUAGAGUCUACUACUUUUUUAGAGUCAUCAGGGCUGAUUUCUUCAAAGGCUCUUAUGAAUCCCCUGGAAUUAUAGCCAAAUGUGAGUUUGUGCAAAUGCUGGGGGUAAUGUCCAUAGUUUUAUUGAUGAUGUGAAACAGGGCGGCAGUCUCCUGGAAAGGAAGUAGCCCCAAUCCUUUGAGUCACACUCCAGAAGAAGUCAGUUUCCACAUACCCAUGACUUCAGCUAGGAGCUCCGCAGGUAGUGUCCUGCCUGGAAGUACAGCUUCAUCUAAAAUGGAGCUGGGAGAGACAGCCAGUAAGGUAACACGGAGGAAUGGAAAGCCCUGGUGGCUGGUGGUCCAGUGGUUAGGACUCCGUGCUUCCACUGCAGGGGGCGUGUGUGUUCCAUCCCUGGUCAGGGAACUAAGAUCCUCCGUGCUGUGCAGCACAGCCAAAAUAAAAAGAUAGCAACACAGAGCGCUGGCCAAGCACUUUACAGUUUCUAAGUGCGUUUACCUGUAUUAGCUCUCUUAAAUACCCAGAACAUCUCAGUAAAAUGAAGAACUACCUGGCAUUGUUCUUGGUGUAUUAUAUUUUUAGGGAUGUUUAAAGUCUGUAGACUAUUUCAUCACCUAGGUAUGUCAUGAUUUAUAAAGCUCAUCCACUAUUUUAAUCAUUUAGAUAUGUUUACUGUUACAGAUAAUACCAUGAUGAACAUCCUACCACAUAAAACUUUGUGUUUUUUUUUUCAUUUUUUAUUGAAGUAGAAUUGAUAUACAACAUUUUAUUAGUUUCAGGUUACAACAUAAUGCUUCAGUAUUUGUAUAUAUUGCAAAAUUAUCAUCACAGUGAGUCUAGUUAACAUCCAUCACCGUAAUAGUUACAGAAUUCUUUUUUUCUUGUGAAAAACUUCAUGCAAUUUUUAAAGUAAAUUCAAGGGAGUGAAAUUACUGGUACAACAGAUACAAAUACCCCAGCCCCCAUAGUUAUAAUCAUCUUAUUGAUGUAAUGAGAAUAAUAUUUUUUAAUCUUCCUCUUUGGAAUUCUGCAGUGGGAACACAAGGGCAGCCCCUUCUCUCUCCUAUACCCAGCAGAAACAUUAAUAAUCUAUCAUAUCCUUUUUAAAAAUUGAGGUAAUUGCAGUUGUAAAAAUAAUACAGAGAGUUCCCUUAUACAUUUUGCCCACUUUCACCCAGUAGUAACAUCUUGUAAAACUGUAGCAUAACAUCACAACCAGAACAUUGCCAUUAUUUCAAACCACCAGUCUUAGUCGUAUUUCCCCAGUUUUACCUGUAUAUGUGUAUAUAUUAAGUUCUAUGCAAUUUUAUUACCUCUGUAAAUUCUUAAAUCUGCUACCACAGUUCCAGCACCACAAGGAUUCUUCAUGUUACCCUUUUAAUGAUCACGCCUCUACGUCACCCCCUUCUUAACCCUUGACAACCACUAAUAUAUCCUCCACUUCUAAAAUUUUGUCAUUUGAAAAUGGAAUCAUACACUGUGUAACUUUUGGGGAUUGGGUUUUUUUUCACUCAGCAUAAUCCUCUAGAGAUCCAUCCGAGUUUUUUAAUGUAUCAGUAGUUUAUUUUAUUUGUUUCAAGAUAUGGAUGUACCACAGAUGUACCAUGUUUAACCAUUAAUCUAUUAAAGAAUACUGAAUACAACAUUGUAAAUCAGCUAUACUCCAAUAAAACUAAAAGUUUUUUGAAAAAAGGAA